UUACGGGAGGCAGCAGUGGGGAAUAUUGCACAAUGGGCGAAAGCCUGAUGCAGCAACGCCGCGUGAGCGAUGAAGGCCUUCGGGUCGUAAAGCUCUGUCCUCAAGGAAGAUAAUGACGGUACUUGAGGAGGAAGCCCCGGCUAACUACGUGCCAGCAGCCGCGGUAAUACGUAGGGGGCUAGCGUUAUCCGGAAUUACUGGGCGUAAAGGGUGCGUAGGCGGUCUUUCAAGCCAGAAGUGAAAGGCUACGGCUCAACCGUAGUAAGCUUUUGGAACUGUAGGACUUGAGUGCAGGAGAGGAGAGUGGAAUUCCUAGUGUAGCGGUGAAAUGCGUAGAUAUUAGGAGGAACACCAGUAGCGAAGGCGGCUCUCUGGACUGUAACUGACGCUGAGGCACGAAAGCGUGGGGAGCAAACAGGAUUAGAUACCCCGGUAGA
rnacentral:rRNA from 1 species